UACGUAGGAUGCGAGCGUUGUCCGGAAUCACUGGGCGUAAAGCGCGCGUAGGCGGCGCCCUGCGUCGGCGGUGAAAGCUCCCGGCUCACCCGGGAGAGGGCCGCCGAAACGGGGGCGCUCACGAGGGCGGUAGGGGCUGGCGGAACACCCGGAGUAGCGGUGAAAUGCGUUGAGAUCGGGUAGAACACCGGUGGCGAAGGCGGCCAGCUGGGCCGACCCUGACGCUGAGGCGCGAAAGCCAGGGGAGCGAACGGAAUUAGAUACUCCGGUAGUCCUGGCCCUAAACGAUGACGACUAGGUGUGGGGGGUAUCGACCCCUCCCGUGCCGCAGCACACGCGAUAAGUCGUCCGCCUGGGGAGUACGGCCGCAAGGCUAAA
rnacentral:rRNA from 1 species